rnacentral:lncRNA from 1 species
UUGGGAAUUGUGGUUCAAGGAAUCAAGUAUGCAGAUUGACAUCUUGCUAUCUGAAGGCCUGUCUUUGAGAACCCAGCAGAUCACGCAAUAUGAGUUCUACCGAGAGCGUUUACAAUCCUCGGCUCACUCAUGCUGUCUGGUUCUGCACUCGGACGUCUGGAUCGCCUUUGGAUGGGCAGUACUUGCAAACACUCCAGGUGCAGACGCAGGCAGAAUGCAAUAUCCAGUGUCUUUCACACGCCCAAGACGCUCUAAUGUACCUCUCAUUGUAUGACUGUGACAUUGUUGUCUUUUCAUCGCAUGCUAGGAAUUCUUGCUGGACUCCAGCACGGCCGAUGCCACC